rnacentral:lncRNA from 10 species
CUGUGGAGAGACAGGCAAGAUAAGCACAAACACAGGCUGCGCACAUCACCAUUUCCUUCACCACAUUGCAAUUGAGCACUUCCUCCUGGACUCUACCUGCUCCUUUCUCCACCUUCCCUGUGUCCAGGCCUUUUGGAGGCAGGUAUUGAAGCCGUUAUAACAUGUAUCUGGGAUUUAUUUUUUUUAUUCAAAUAUGGUGAGGCCAACAGAUCAGGAGAUGACUGCCUUUGAAAAGACAGUUUGUGACUCACAGUUCCCCGGAGGAGGGGGCACAUCACACGUCAAAGAGCCACAGGGAGCACCAGGGCCAGUCAGGAGCCAGAGGUGUUUAUCUUGGUGCUGUCUGUGUUAGCAAGUGAGCAUUCAGCACAUUUGAGCCCACUCGCUUCGCUCUGAAAUAGCCUGCACAGAGUCUUCGUGCCGCACCCUCUCUGGAGCAGCUCCACUUCUGUGUUUUCAAUUGGACUCUCCAGUUCUGCCAUGCAAAAGCUCCAACUCAAUGGACAGCAGCCUCAGUGGAUGGUUUCCAUGCAUACAUCCAGGAAAAUGGGAAAGUUUAAUUGCAUAAAUUAUACGAGAAAGUGAUCUUCCCAUGGCUACUGAGCGAAUAUAUGUUAGCAUGUCAUUGAUGCUAUGCUAAAUCCUAAUGGUUCAUACCGACAUUAAACCCAAGAAUGUUUCUCAGGUGAGAAAGCUGCAGUUGUAUGCAAUAUGCCUACCUUCCUCUUGUGGGAUGCAAAGGAAAACACAUGCAUGCACAGGCAAAUGUUCUUAAACACAC